rnacentral:rRNA from 1 species
ACGUAGGGUGCGAGCGUUAAUCGGAAUUACUGGGCGUAAAGCGUGCGCAGGCGGUUUGUUAAGCCAGAUGUGAAAGCCCCGGGCUCAACCUGGGAACUGCGUUUGGGACUGGCAGGCUGGAGUGCGGCAGAGGGGGGUGGAAUUCCACGUGUAGCGGUGAAAUGCGUAGAUAUGCGGAGGAACACCGAUGGCGAAGGCAAUCCCCUGGGCCUGCACUGACGCUCAUGCACGAAAGCGUGGGGAGCAAACAGGA